rnacentral:misc_RNA from 1 species
GAUGAAGAACGUAGCGAAAUGCGAUAAGUAAUGUGAAUUGCAGAAUUCAGUGAAUCAUCGAAUCUUUGAACGCACAUUGCGCCCGCCAGCAUUCUGGCGGGCAUGCCUGUUCGAGCGUCAUUUCAACCCUCGACUUCCCUUUGGGGAAAUCGGCGUUGGGGACUGGCAGCAUACCGCCGGCCCCGAAAUGGAGUGGCGGCCCGUCCGCGGCGACCUCUGCGUAGUAAUCCAACCUCGCACCGGAACCCCGACGUGGCCACGCCGUAAAACACCCCACUUUCUGAACGUUGACCUCGGAUCAGGUAGGAAUACCCGCUGAACUUAAGCAUAUCAUAAGCGGAGGA